AGUCAACAUGCCCAGAGGACGUGGAUAACCUCGGGAAACUGAGUCUAAACCGCGAUAAGUGAGGAUUUCUGGAAUGGUUCCUGACUAAAAUCUAUAUGGCCUCUGGAUUGGACUGCGGCCGAUCAGGCUGUUGGUGAGGUAAUGGCCCACCAAACCUGUAACCGGUACGGGCUCUGAGAGGAGGAGCCCGGAGAUGGGCACUGAGACAAGGGCCCAGGCCCUAUGGGGCGCAGCAGGCGCGAAACCUCUGCAAUAGGCGAAAGCUUGACAGGGUUACUCUGAGUGAUUUCCGUUAAGGAGAUCUUUUGGCACCUCUAAAAAUGGUGCAGAAUAAGGGGUGGGCAAGUCUGGUGUCAGCCGCCGCGGUAAUACCAGCACCCCGAGUGGUCGGGACGAUUAUUGGGCCUAAAGCAUCCGUAGCCGGUACUGCAAGUCUUCCGUUAAAUCCACCUGCUCAACAGUUGGGCUGCGGAGGAUACUACAGCGCUAGGAGGCGGGAGAGGCAAGCGGUACUCAUUGGGUAGGGGUAAAAUCCACUGAUCCAUUGAAGACCACCAGUGGCGAAGGCGGCUUGCCAGAAUGCGCUCGACGGUGAGGGAUGAAAGCUGGGGGAGCAAACCGGAUUAGAUGCCCGGGUAGUCCCAGCUGUAAACGAUGCAGACUCGGUGAUGGGCUGGCCUUGUGCCAACCCAGUGCCGCAGGGAAGCCGUUAAGUCUGCCGCCUGGGGAGUACGGUCGCAAGACUGAAACUUAA
rnacentral:rRNA from 1 species